rnacentral:lncRNA from 1 species
AAGUUCUUUUGUAUCUUUCACUCUUCCUUGUUCCUUAUCUCCACGUGUCCAUAAUAACUAGUAUAGCAGAGAUAGCCGGUCCUCAAUAAGUAUUAGAAAAUUGACCAUGCUUGACAUUUUCAAGUACUGUAAACAUUUCCUCCACUGUAUUUUUUAGAAUAUAUCCUCUCUCACUAUUCCUAGUUAUAGCCUUAACCCAAGUCUUAACCAUAUCUUACCUCUAGGACUAGUGCUUCCCUGUUCCUUUUGGCUCAUUCUACGAUCACAGUAAUCAUCUCGGUAGAUUAUGAUAAUGUUUCUUCCUUUUCUCACCUUUACAUUGCUUCAUUAUAGUUGACAUGAGAUUAAGACUGUGGAUAUUCGAGGAACGUUCCUGUCAACUUCCUUUCCAAAAGUUAUUACAACUUCCAGCCUGUCUUACCUGUUUCUGGCAG